rnacentral:rRNA from 1 species
CUACGGGAGGCUCCAGUGGGGAAUAUUGGACAAUGGGGGAAACCCUGAUCCAGCAAUGCCGCGUGUGUGAAGAAGGCCCGCGGGUUGUAAAGCACUUUCGGUUGGGAGGACUGCUUCUAGCACUAAUAUUGUUGGAAGUUGACGUUACCUUCAGAAGAAGCACCGGCUAACUCCGUGCCAGCAGCCGCGGUAAUACGGAGGGUGCAAGCGUUAAUCGGAAUUACUGGGCGUAAAGCGCGCGUAGGCGGCUAGAUCAGUCGGGUGUGAAAGCCCCGGGCUUAACCUGGGAACUGCAUCCGAUACUGUCUAGCUUGAGUACAGGAGAGGAGAGUGGAAUUCCACAUGUAGCGGUGAAAUGCGUAGAUAUGUGGAGGAACACCAAUGGCGAAGGCAGCUCUCUGGCCUGAUACUGACGCUGAGGUGCGAAAGCGUGGGGAGCAAACAGGGUUAGAUACCCUAGUAGUC